UCAUGCACCUAAAAUCUUAUAGCAAAGUUUGUCCAGAAAAAGACCUAAAGUUAUUGUUUGGGUGGUUUGGGUUUUUUUUUUUUUUUUUUUUUUUUUUUUUUUUUUGGUGUUUUUUUUUUUUAAAUCCAGUUUUGCCAAGCAUUUUGUUUGAUAGACAGUUAUCCAGUGUAGUUUAGUUGAAAAAAAAAAAAAAAAUCUGUGUUGUCCUAAAUUGUUCCAUCACAAAUGAAAUUUUGCUCUUGUUUGGAAUUUGGAUUUUUUCAACAUUAACAAGUGUUCAUUGGAAUUUGUUGUUUGGCAUUCUCAGGACUACAGCUUUCCACUGUUUAGAGCCUUUUUUCCUUUCUGACAGAGGUGGUUGUAGCAAUCAAUGCUGGAUAAUAUGGAUCAAAUACACGGGCAUGACAUGCAGGAACUAACAAUAUGGAAAGCAAAUACUGAGGUCUUAAUGCUGUAAAGAGAAUGUGCCAAAAUCAUCUUGUGAAGGAAGAAAUACUGUGGAAAACUUUCAGGUAGAAUAUUUAUUUGAAGUUAGGGAAAAAUAAAAAUAGAAGGUAGAAUCUAAUCAGAUUAAGAAAUUCAAGCAAGAUGAUGCAAAUGCUUUCGAUUGCAUGAGAACUAAAGCAAAACAACAGACUGAAACCAUUACUUUACAUUACAGUAACCAUUACAGUAAUUUACAUUACUGCCUUUUUCUGGAUGAUACAAACAUUUCCCUCUCCUAUUGUAUGUCUGUUCUAUUAUGAAAAAGGUAUGAAAGGCAAAAGAUGCUUUAAGACUUCAAGAGAGAAGCAGAAGAAAGCUACAGAAAUUUUAAGAAGAGAAAAAAGAAGACUGAAAAUCUCCUGCAGGAAUUAUUCAGAUGGAUUUUUUCAAAAAUUAUUUCUGAUAAUAAAUCAAGCAAUAAAAAAAAAUUACACCCAUACAGAAUGACUGCCUGGGAGCAAGACAGGAAUCUCUUCGACUAUGUGAACAUAAACUUUGACAGAUGGGCAGUUUGUAUCUGUGCAGCAUGGUAAAUUAUACUGCAAUAAACCAAAAGACUGCUUGGACUUAGAUGCCAGCUUCCUCUGAUAAUAACAUCAAAUGACCACAAGGAGUAGGAUUCGGUGGAGCAGAAUUUUAAAUGAUCAUUUCCAUUCCUGAGACUGUACCUAGACAUUUUUAAGAAUCUUAUUUAAGGAGGAUAACGGUUAAAUAGCUGAACAGCUCAGACUUUAUCCACAGCAAACCAUAUUAAAGUCUCAAAAAACAGCUCUCAGUAGGAGCUGCAGUCACUUCAGAGAACUUUGAAAUAAAUGACAGUGGAAAUGAAUUAGUGAAGCUCUCCACAGAACAAACAGGCUGAAAUAAAUUAAUUCUCCACUUUUUUUUAUUUUUUAUUUUUUUUGAUUAGCUUCCAUAAUAGAAGGAGUUGGAAAUCUACUGAUGAUAAUGAGAAUGAAAGAAAUUUUACUGAGGCAGAAAGAGCUUUGUUCCACUGGUUUAUUUUUAAUUGGUUGGGGUUUUUGUGUUUGUUGCUGUUAGCUUUGUUGUUUGUUUGUUUUUAUGUGGAUAAAGUUGUGAAGAGAUUUAGCUGUGCAGGUGAUAUUAUCUCAGAGUUGUCUCUGCUAUUACUGCUUUUCAGCUAGUUCUUGGCAUUACUUCUAACCUUUCUUCUGGGAGUAUCCCUGUUUUGACAAAGAGAUAAAAUGACAGUAAUAAUGUUUUUUGUGGGUGGUCCUCAAUGAUUCAUAACAGAGAAUUCGAAAAAAAUGCUUUUAAGUCUUGUCCUCAGGCACGACUGCAUUUAGUGUUCAAAAAUUUUGAAUAUUAGUUUUCUGAAAAUGUGACCCAAAUAUCCAGUCACUAAAAUGAAGACAGCAGCACCUUUUGUCCAUGGUUUAAUUUGUUAUCUAAAUGUUGAAUGGAUCCACCACCCUUUAACUCUAUUUGAUCACAAGGGUCUGAGGUCCCACAGCUUUUGAGUUGAAUUUAUGAGGAACAAGGCUGGAUUCUGCAGGUGAGUGUUACCAGUUUGUCAUGAAAACAGCAGUCAAGUUUUCUGACAAAAGGCUGCCAUGACAUCACUGCAGUUUUCAGUCUUCAUAUGAACACAGCUUGUGGCCCUUAAAAUGAUGCAUAUUUAAAUAAGGCAGCAAUGAAUAUUUCUAAGUGAGGAUUGGAUUAUGUGACAAAUGAAAUUAACGUCUCAGGUUUUUAAUUAGCAUAGCCUAGUAUUAAUAAGGAAGCUAAAUUCCAUGAGAAAAUGUGUUUGUAUUUGUUUAUACAUGUUUCUGGACAGACACCUAAAUGCAUAUAUGUACAUGUGUGUUAGAUAAAUCAUUUUGUCAUUAACAUGAUUAAAUUAAUUGUUUUUGGGUGCA